ACGCACCUGUUUCGCGUCACACCUGGCGGAGGCGACUGCAGGUGCUCCCCGGCACGUGCAUUCGGCUCGCACGAGUGGAGCUCCUUGGGGGAUUGGUCGCGGCAAAGUGACGUGACCUCCCGGGAGAAGACAAAGGCUCGAUUAAGAAUCUGCCUCUGGAGUAUCUAGUCUCGUCCCAGACGGAGCCAGCUGCCGCAGCGAGAAAGUGAUUUGCAGCCCUGAAGUGACUGUUCCAGUCACAGAGAGACGUGGCUGGGCAGCUUCAACUACGUGUAAAGGAUCACUGAAAAAACUCACGUUUCCGACACGCUGUCUCCUCCUUCUUCAGCAACUUCCUCCUCUUCUUCCUCGGAAC